CGAGUCGGUCAGACGGUCGCUGGAAAGCCCCUUAAAAAGGCGUUCUGGAGGAAAGUCCGGGCUCCAUAGGACAGGAUGCCAGGUAACGCCUGGGGGGCGUGAGCCCACGGAAAGUGCCACAGAAAAUAUACCGCCGGCGGCCUAUGGCCGCAGGUAAGGGUGAAAUGGUGCGGUAAGAGCGCACCGCGCCGGUCAACGCCGGUGGCAGGGUAAACCCCAUCCGGAGCAAGACCAAAUAGAAAAGCAUGCCGCUACGGGCGGCGCAGCGUGGUCCGCGCUAGCUUUCGGGUAGGUUGCUAGAGGCGUUCGGAGACGGACGUCCCAGAUGAAUGGCCGUCACCGCCUUCCGGGCGGGACAGAACCCGGCUUAUCGACCGACUCGCCCU
rnacentral:RNase_P_RNA from 1 species